ACGAGUGUAAUGUUUUGUCAAAUGCUUUCUCUGCAUCAAAUAAUAGGAUUGCUUUCUUUUGCUUGUUGAUAUGGUAGAAUAUAUUGAUUGAUUUUGAAAUACUGAGUAGCUUUGCAUAUUUGGAAUAAUCCCAGUUGGUCACUUUGUACCGUUCUUUCUAUACACUAUUGGAUUUAAUUUGCUGAUAUUUUAUGAGGAUUUUGUGUCUAGGUUCAUUAGUUAUAUUGAUCUAUAGUUUUCUUUUAUUGUCUUUGUCUAGUUUUGGUUUCAGGAUAAUACUGAUAUCAGAAAAUGAGUUGGAAAGUGUUUCUUCCUUUUUCAUUAUCUGGAAGAGAUUAUAUAAGAUUAGUUUUAAACUUUUCUCUUAUAAUUUUCUUUGCCCUGAAGUCUACAUUGUUAGCUAUUAAUAGAGUUAUUACUGCUUUUUUAAAAAAAUCAUGUUUAUAUAUUUAUUUCCAUAUUUUUUGCUUUCAAUCUGCCUGUGUCAUUACAUAAGAAGAGAGGUUGUUUUGGUAAAAGCAGUGUACAUUUGGAGCAUGUUUAUUUUUCCAGCCUGUUAAUCAGUAUCUUUUGAUUAGUGUAUUUGGACAAUUUGCAUUUAAGGUGGUUUCCAGGUAUGUUAGUGCUUAAAAGGACUGUUUUAUUAUUUGUUUUCUCCAACUGUUGAUCUGUAUGUCUUUGCAUUUUUCCUGGUAUGUUAGCACUAUUUUAGGAUUCCCAAAGUGAUUUAUCAUUAUUUUAGUGUGUCUCUGUGUACAGGUUUUGUAGUGGCUGCUCUGGGUAUCCAGAUGGACAUAUGUGACUUGUAACACUUAACUGUAUCAAUAUUUUAUAUUUUCAGGAGUGAAAACUUCACAUCCAUUUAGUUGCUUUUUCCUUCCUUGCUUUUAAAUAAUUUUUCCUUAUGAAUUAGAACAUGUUAUGAUUUCUGUUUUAUCAUUGAAUAUAAUUGAUAAAACUUGAGAAAAGGAUUGUUGUGUGUGCCCAGUUCUAAUCUUUCUGUUGCUCCUUCUUCCUUCCCAGUUCUUUCUUCUAUCAUUCCCUGUCUGCUUGAAGGAACUUGUUUAGAAGAUCUUUAAGGGUAGCCUGUUGUUCAGUUGCUCAGUCAUUCUGACUCUUUUCGACCCCAUGGACCGCUGUUAACUGACUCAUGAAUGUUUCCCUUUCUGUGAAGUUUGUUUGAACUUGGUACCAGGCUUGCUUGUUUAGCAUCCAGGCAUUUCUCAUGGUGGCAAAAGCAUGCUUCUGGGUGGGUUCCUUCACUUUCAUAUUACAGCUCUGUUUUAAUUUAAUGACCCAACACCCCGGGGCUCUGCUGGCUGUGUUACCUGUGUUGCUUCCCAACAGUAUCGAUGUUCAGAGAAGAUUAACUGGAAAUUUGCUAAAAAUCAAGGCCAUUGAUCCUAUAGAGAGACACCUCAGAGAUCUCAUGGGUUUGGUUCCAGGCAUCGCAAUGAAGCAAAUACCACAAUACAAUGAGGCACGCAUGUGUUUUGGUUUCCCAGUGAAAAUAAAAGUUGUUUAUUCUAUAUUAUAGUCUAUUAAGUGUGCAACACUAGUACAUCUGAAAGAACAAUGUGUGUAGCUUAAUUUAAGCAUACCUUCUUGCUAAAAAAUGCUCACCAUCAGUGGACAAUAUAGAGUGGCUAUGAAUCUUCACUUUGUAAAAAAAAGUAGCAUCUCCCUUUGAGGCACAAAAAAAGUGCACCUGUGCUCCUUUCAUCCAGGUGGGACACGCCCAUGACCUGGACAUUCCAUCCCAAUGGUGCUGACACACCGCUGUGAAUUUCAAAGGGACCCAGGAGAACCAAGAAAAGUGAUUUAGAGCUGGCCGUCUAAUGAUUCUGGAUCGGGGCUGUUGUGAGAGGCUUAGUCGGCCAGACAAGAGGCCUAAGAUCAGAUUAGAGAUGGAAGAUGUGUGUUAACUUGGACUUGAGGCCCCAGACGAUGAGGAAGAAGUCCCAUGGGUCAAUUUCUGGUGUAUCUCUGUCAAAAGAUAUUUUUCAUGAAAAGGUGAAAGCGAGAUUCUCAUAGUGAUGUAAACAUGUGCCUGUGUUGAAGGUUUUGUCUUAACUCUCUAACCACUGAGGGAACCAGGCAGGUGUUAAAAAUGGUCCAAAGGAAAGGCGAAAAGCACAAGUUUAUUUGGAGUUAAGUUUGUGUGGGCAAACCUGAUUUUUCUACAGGAGCAGUGAACUCUACUGAAAUUCCACAGUACAACUGCAGUUUGCAUACCCAUCCUUCUCCGCAGUUUAUGAAGAGAAGUAAAAUAGCUGGCUGACAGCAAGCCAGGUUCCUUCUGCUGCUCUACACUCAUCAUUGCCACACCCCACCACCCCAAAAAAGUGAACUGAACCAGAGAAGGAGCACAAGACAAAAGUCCUGCUUGUGCCAUCCUUCAGUUCCCUGGGAACAAACCAAACAAGUGAAUAUACAUAUUACAUUGGAAUGUGAGUUACAGUGGAGUGGGCAUUCCGUUCUCAGUUAUGCCAUUUUAUCGCUCUGCCAGCGAGACUCUAUCAAGCCCCGUGAGUUACUGAAUGAAUCCUGCCUGGUGCAGGAAAAUCAGAAUCCACCACUCAGAAAGUAACAAAGAAGUAGAUAAAGUAACAGAAGUAGGUAAACUAGUCACAACGUCACAUCCCGCAGAAGAGGAGUAUGGACUGCAGCAUCUUUUCACUCGCCUUCUGAUUGCAGAGUCUUCCUGCCUCCUCUCAGAACUGCGUCCUGCUGGCCCUGUGGACGGUGAGGGAGGUGGAUGCCUGCAGAGGAGGAAGGGACUUCACAGCCUGGCUUUGCUGCCAACAAGCCGCGAGUCUGGGCAACUGGCAGCUCGCUAAAGGCAGGUCAGAUGGGUCAUCUCUGAAAGCGGGGCAUGUUCUGCCCCUCUGGUGAGGGUUCAGAAUGUCUUUCCUAAGUACCAGUGAGAACUAAACAAGGCCACAGAUGUAAAGCUCGGACAUGAGAUGCCCGGUAGAUGAUGUCAGGGCCUCCCGAUUACUGUUGUUACUGGUGACUCAGCGGCUUCCCACGGGGCCUGCGGCCGGGAGGAGAGAGGACGCUCAUCCCGCCCCUCCUGCGGGUGCCCCGCUGCGCCUGAGUGGGGGACGGGGAAGGGCCCUUGGGGGUCUGUUCAAGACCAUUUACUGGAGGAAGAUGUGGCCCGCCUGUUGGUGACUGAAGCCUUGUAAACACUCCUGCAGCCCAAGAGAUGGGGGAACGUGUGACUCCUGGAGCCUCCCUUGUCGUCAUGAUGAGAUGACAUGUCGGUUUCAUUUCAGACUCUUUCUAAGGAGACUGAGCCGAGCAUUCAGGGCCUUCAGGCUGGUGGAAAGGAAUGUCUUGCUCAAGCAAAUGGCCUGACUGUUCCUCCCGGGAACUUCUGUGGUGUCCACACUCACACCCAAGAGUCAAGCAUCGCUCACUGAAAAGUCGGGUUCUCUGGGCUGUGCAGUCAGGGUCCUCACCGGCCCUGAUCCCCCAACCUCAGCUCCAGCCUCUGCCUGUUGAGUCUGUGGCAUUUGAAGCAGGCAUGAUUUGUCUCCUUAGGAAUUCCUUCUAUAGUACUUGGAGCUUUGUGGAUAAAGCAGCAGUCAGAGACGCCCUGUAGAAAUGGAGUGGAGAAUUGAAAUGUGAUUCCCAACCCAGAGUGGAUGCUCUUUUCACGCUCAGCUGGGUCUCUAACUCCUGAAAUAUUAAUCUGUAAGAGCUGCUGGCAAACCAAUCAUUGGCACAAUUAACAAGCCCCUGGUUGGCCACACAGCCUUGAGGAGGGGAGGUCUUGGGGGUGGGGGUCAGCUGAGCCACUGGGAGGGUGGCCUCCCCCCAGCCUUGUUCCCACUCUGCCUGGUCUCCAGGAUCAGCCCGAGUGCAUUUGCUAAGAUUUCUGAAAGUUGCUCCGUCCAUGAUCACAUGUCACGUGUCAGCUCACAUCCGGGCACUCUCUACUCUCUGAGCACAGAACUUCGAGGCCCAGCCUGGUCCCACCAUCCACCCCCUUCACUUUUCUUCUUUGCAUACAUGUGUCCUUUCAUACUCCCUUCUUCUUAUGCAGUGGUUUCCAUUUAGGACAUAGGAUGAGUACCAUCUAGGGAUGUGAAAAAUCCAGCCUGAGGCCCCAGACAGAGUGGGUCCUGCUCUCUGGGCAGAUGCAGAGCCCCCGGAGACGAAAACCUCAUAAGCCAACUGUAGACUCGGUGCUUUGCUGCAAGAGGAUUCAUUUGAGCUAUAAUAAAAAGUAGUGUGUUUAUUUAACCCCUGUAAGCUGAUCUCCUUGGUCUUCAUGAACUGGCUGGGCAGCUAAGGACCCACAUUCCUUCCACAGUUAAUAAAACUUCAUAUUUUUCUCU